UAUGCAUUUUCAGAUCAGCUGAGCUUUUUCCAGCACCAGUUCUGAGCUCAUGCAUGAAAAAACCCGGUCUUGGCUAAAUCUAUAAAACCUUACUUCCCUCUUUAAUAUACUAGCACAUCAUAGUCUCAUGUCAACUCAAAUAUUUGUCAAAUUCAUAUACAUGUACAACCAUUAAUUCCUUGGGAUUGAGGGAUGAAAUUAUUAUAUUUUAAAAUUAAAAGGCUCGUCUACAACCACAUUAUAAAUACUCGUGGCUUAUUUUCUAAAAAAUAGAGUACAUUCUACCAUUUAUUCCUAACAUUUUUUCAUGAAAUAUUUAAAAUAGUAAUGUGAAUUUUGAAAAAUGUAUAAAUACCUGUUUAUAGUCUGUAAAAUACGGAUGUUUGUUCUGGCUUGAAGUAUCGUUUUUGCCCACAUUUCGCGAGGUUUUAAUAGUUGUUUGUUGUCUUUCACGCUCCACGGACGAGAAUUAACGUGUACAGCUUCCACGUCUUUGAACAAAUUGUCAACAGGCGAAAAAAUAUGUCGAAAAUAUCAAAACAACAAGGAUUCACUGCAAAUUGCAAAAAGCCGAAAUAUUUUUAUAAAAACCAGGGGGGAGUGAAAACUGUGGCGGGCUCAUAAUUGAGCCUUGUUCAGUGGCAAUUACCAUGAAUUUAGGGACCAGUAGUCAUGGAAAUGGCGUCAUUUUUCAUCAAAAUCCGCCAUUUUUUUGGCGACACUUCGUUGACUGAACGAAGUAUAGGAGCAGGUCCUCCAGUUAUUAUACAGCUCAGUGGUUUCCACGCCCGUGUCACAGAAUAGGAAGUUAUACCAGAAGCGUAACUCGAGCAAAUAUUUGUCCGCGUAUUUACAAGCGAUUCGUCAUCAAUCACGCCAUCCUGGCUAGUACAACCGGCACUUUGUACCUACCAAAUCCUGAUAAAAACUUCCGGCUGUACUAGCCAGGAUGGCGUGGCCUGACGUGAGCGAGUUCAAAAUUUUCGUGGACGUCAAACAAUAAGGGAAACGACUAGAGUUACGCUUCUGGUAUAACUUCCUAUUCUGUGCCCGUGUUUUACUACGCCCUGGCGUCAGCAAACAUGAAAAUCCGCCAUGUUUUUCCGGACACUCGUUUGACUGAAAGAUAGAUAGGAGCACGUCCUCCAGUAAUAUUAUAGCUCAGUGGUCCCAAAUCCUCGUGGUAAUUACCACUGAGCAAGGCUCAUUUUGAGCCCGCUACCACUUUCUCAUCCCCCUGAUUUUCACAAAAAUAUUUUAGCUUUUUGUUUUGAAGUUUGCCUCGGUGUUUGCCUUCUCUUCGACAUAUUUUUAACAUUUGUUUCGAGUUGCACAAGUGGUAAGAAUCAUCCUGGCUAGUGAAAGACAGGGAACGAAUAUUCAAACCUCAAGAAAUUUUGGAAAGACGUUAUUUGUAAAGGUAAAAAAAUACUGUUUAUAUGUUCAAUCAAUAUUAAUUUGUGAUAGAGUGUGUCAAAACAAAGCGAAAUAAACAGCCCAUUUGUACUGUGUAGUGGACAAUUUUAGCAACUGAUGUAUACAAUUAAGUUGCCCAAACUAUAUUAAUACGAGAAACAGUCUUCCUCGAAAGAAAAUGGUUGAAAUUUCAGAUUUUAGUUUCAUUUGUUAUUUCAAAUUUUACGAUAUAAAAUGCCAGUCAACCACCAUCUGCUUCAUGAUCAUACUUAUUAAAAUUAAAGUGGUUUCUAUUAUAUUAGUAUACCUAUAGAGGAAGACCUUUUUAAGCCAGAACUAUCAUGGCUUGGCUUUGAAUGAUUUAAUCCAUGUACUUUAUAACUGGCCACUUAUGGCAAUGAAAUUAUAAUGACUAAUGUGUAGAAUUAUCAAGUCUAGAUCCAAAAAUUGGCAGUUUCAUAUAUAAGAUCAGGCAUAUAUAAGAUCAAAGCUAUUUUCAUAUAUAAGAUCAGGUUUAGAGGCCUGUAGCAUUUUCUCUAGAAAUUGCAUGAGUAAAAUCAAUUUCAUAAUUAAAUAACCCGUUGAGCCGCAAUGCGCCCUAUUUAUUUUUUUACUUGCCAGAUGAUUUUACUUGUCAAUGGGGAAGCUCUGCAGCUUAUCGGUUAACCAAAAAAAACUGACAAUGUCUCUAGUUUUUUUUUACUUUCUAAAGCCAGACAAUAUUACUCGUCAAUGGGGAAGCUCUGCAGCUUAGUGGGUUAAUUAGAAAAUGAACCAUUCUUGACAUUCACUCAUGAUAUUUGAUGUUGGUAAUUCAUGUAUUUUUGGAGGAAAAUAUUUUAGACAGUGGUUGUUUGCCUGACACCAAACCCCAAUAUUUACAUGCUAUUUGUCUAAGUGAACUAUUUCCUCAUUUUCAACAUGCCAAAGUGAUACAAAAUAAAUUUCAGUUAAAUUCAAGGAGGUCCUCGGGCCCGUAAGUUGUCAACUGACGACUAUCACCUUCAUUGUUAGUUAAGCAUAUAUCUGCUUAAGUCCUGGGUUCAAAUGAGUGGAAUUUCAAGAGCAUUCUGACUGGCUUUGUGCAAACAGGGGGCCUUACCGGUUAGGAUGAGGGCCAGUUGAGGUGUUAGGGUUGGGUGCAGGCAAGGUUCAUGUAAACUUAUUGUUAGCAAGAAUCAGAGAAGGAUUUUCAUAUUUUUGUUCGGGGGGGGGGUAAAUAUCUGGGGGGGUGAUGCUGCUUGCUUUGGCCGGGGCAACGCCUGGAAAGGCCAAGGAAAAAGUUUAACAAAAUUUGUUUUCUAUGUCUGCAUGGCAAGAUCUGAGACCAUAAUAUUGGUAAUUUUACAAAUUUAGUAGUAAGAAUAAUCAAAUAUGAAACUAUCAAAUCAAAAUAUAUAUAAUUUGUGGGGGUGCAAACAAAAACUUUGGGGGGCAGUGCCAAAUGCCUCUUGGGGGGGGGGGGGGUUUGCAAAUAAUUUCUGUGGUACACCCCCCCCCCCCAGAAAAUCUGUGCCUGGCAAGAAUGUUAUGUGUACAUAAUCAUGUGUAAUGUUGUUUGGAUUAAUUGCAUUUAAACGUUGGAAUCCAGUGUCGAACAGUAACCACAACAAUUAUUAUAUAAAGUAUUUGGUUGUUUUAGUGUAAUAUUAAUUUCUCACAUAUUUUUUUCAGAAAUAAAGCACCAUUGAGCAACUUGUUGGGAAAGAGGAGUCACAAACUGUUGAUGAAUAUUUAAUUAACUACACAUAAAAUACAAUUUUAUUAACAGUAUAUUGAUUUAUGGGUUUAUUAGACCACAUUAUUUUCAUAUUAUUAAUAAUGAA